AAGGAUUCCCCUAGUAACUGCGAGUGAAGAGGGAAGAGCUCAAAUUUAAAAUCUGUCAGUGUUUCACUGUCCGAGUUGUAAUCUAGAGAAGUGCUGCCCGUGCUGGACCAUGUACAAGUCUCCUGGAAUGGAGCGUCACAGAGGGUGAGAAUCCCGUCUUUGACAUGGAUUGCCAGUGCAUUGUGGUGUGCUCUCAAAGAGUCGAGUUGUUUGGGAAUGCAGCUCUAAAUGGGUGGUAAACUCCAUCUAAAGCUAAAUAUUGGCGAGAGACCGAUAGUGAACAAGUACCGUGAGGGAAAGAUGAAAAGAACUUUGGAAAGAGAGUUAAACAGUAUGUGAAAUUGUUGAAAGGGAAACGCUUAAAGUCAGUCGUGUCGGCCAGGGAUCAACUCAGUUGUUUUUGCUGAGUGUACUUCCUGAUCUGAUGGGCCAACAUCAGUUUUGACUGCUGGAGAAGGAUGGAGGGAAUGUGGCACCUUUGGGUGUGUUAUAGCUCUCUGUCAGAUACAGUAGUUGGGACUGAGGAAAGCAGCAUGCCGCAAGGCCAGGUUUUGACCAUGUUCAUGCUGAGGAUGUUGGCAUAAUGGCUUUAAUCGACCCGUCUUGAAACACGGACCAAGGAGUCUAACAUGCCUGCAAGUGUUUGGGUGGCAAACCCGAGUGCGGAAUGAAAGUGAAAGGUUGAGAUCCCUGUCAUGGGGAGCAUCGAUGCCCGGACCUGAGCUUUUAGCAAAGGAUCUGCGGUAGAGCAUGUAUGUUAGGACCCGAAAGAUGGUGAACUAUGCCUGAAUAGGGUGAAGCCAGAGGAAACUCUGGUGGAGGCUCGUAGCGAUUCUGACGUGCAAAUCGAUCGUCAAA
rnacentral:rRNA from 1 species